rnacentral:rRNA from 1 species
UAAUACAGAGGGUGCAAGCGUUAAUCGGAUUUACUGGGCGUAAAGGGCGCGUAGGUGGUGGCGUAAGUGAGAUGUGAAAUCCCCGGGCUUAACCUGGGACGUGCAUCUUAGACUGCGUAGCUUGAGUGUAGUAGAGGGUAGUGGAAUUUCCGGUGUAGCGGUGAAAUGCGUAGAUAUCGGAAGGAACACCAGUGGCGAAGGCGGCUACCUGGACUAACACUGACACUGAGGCGCGAGAGCGUGGGGAGCAAACAGGAUUAGAUACCCUGGUAGUCCACGCUGUAAACGAUGAAAACUAGAUGUUGUUGGGCUUAGCCCCAUCAGUAUCGAAGCUAACGCGAUAAGUUUUCCGCCUGGGGAGUACGGUCGCAAGAUUA